AUGAGGAUUGCAAGGUGCACCAGAGAGGAGCCAUGGGGGAAACAGCGCUACACAUAGCAGCCCUCUAUGACAACCUGGAGGCCGCCAUGGUGCUGAUGGAGGCUGCCCCGGAGCUGGUCUUUGAGCCCAUGACAUCUGAGCUCUAUGAGGGUGAGGGCCCACGGGUCUGGGGUGAAGAGCAGGAGUGACUGGUUGGGUAUUUCAAGUCAGUCUCUGUGAUGGAUAAUUUGGGAAAGACACAGGGGAUCUGAGCCUCCUACUCUUUUUUUCUGUUCUCUGUCUCCCUUCCGUGUCAGUCCUGACUGCCCAUCACUCGAAUGCCUGCCCCCUGAAAUGCCAGGGGCCUAGAGAAGAGGAAGAGAUGGGCAGCAGCUGGAUCCCCUGGGAAUCCUGAACACCCGAGGGCUCCCUGUUCUCCAUUCCAGGCUACCCCUGAGGGAAAGAGACUGGGGUGCAUAUGGGAGGGACCCCCUGCAGGAUCCUGGGGACAGACCCAUGACUGACAGCUAUCUCUGGGCCAGGUCAGACUGCACUGCACAUCGCUGUUGUGAACCAGAACGUGAACCUGGUGCGAGCCCUGCUUGCCCGCAGGGCCAGUGUGUCUGCCAGAGCCACAGGCACUGCCUUCCGCCGUAGUCCCCACAACCUCAUCUACUUUGGGGAGCACCCUUUG
rnacentral:sRNA from 1 species